rnacentral:rRNA from 1 species
GACGAACGCUGGCGGCGUGCUUAACACAUGCAAGUCGAACGGAGUGGCGAACGGGUGAGUAACACGUGGGUGAUUUGCCUUGCACUUCGGGUUAAGCUUGGGAAACUGGGUCUAAUACCGGAUAGUGCAAGAUGAGCUCGCGGCCUAUCAGCUUGUUAGUGGGGUAAUGGCCUACCAAGGCGUCGACGGCUAGCCGGCCUGAGAGGGUGUACGGCCACAUUGGGACUGCGAUACGGCCCAGACGCCUACGGGAGGCAGAAGUGGGGAAUAUUGCGCAAUGGGCGGGAGCCUGAUGCAGCGACGCCGCGGGGGUGAUGAAGGCCUUCGGGUUGUAAACGCCUUUCGACAGGGACGCGGUACCUGUAUAAGAAGCACCGGCUAACUACGUGCCAGCAGCCGCGGUAAUUC